ACGAACUAUUAACUGUUUAUUAAAAUGAUGGUAUACAAUCCGGACAUUCAUAAGAAUUUUUAAGACUUAUUCGGACUUUCAAUGAUUUUUUAAGUUUUUAAUAAUUAGUGUGGCAAUGAACUUCCAUAGGGGUAUAAUGUAUUUUUUACGCGGUACUUUUGUUGCACGCAACUACGAAGUAAAAUGAGGAUUUUCUGUAAUUCUAAUCAUCUAUAUGAAGUUUUACAAAUGAAGAUUGACAUUUUAAAAGAGUUCGAAUUAGUUGCCGAUGAAAACUCUACAUCUCAGUACGAGGUCGACAAAUGCCAGACAACAGCCUGCUUAGUCCCUAUCUUCUCGCAUGCAGCCGCGCUCGUUCGCGAUCGUCAGUUGUUUAUAUGCACCGUCUUUUGAGUCUGAAUUGUUAUUCAUGCUUACAUAUUUCGUUGACGCUGACUGAAUCGAAUGAAAAGUGAAAUAAUAUAAUUAAACACUAAAAAUAUUGCUCGAAAGCAACGUUCCAUCCGUAAGACCGGCUGGCUGAUAGUCCGCGUUCGUCGUCGCUAUCCUAAUCGACCAACAAAUCCAAUCAAAAAAUGGCACCCACCCAAGAGGAUCGCGGGCGUCUCUUCAGCUUCGAGGAGUACACGGACAUGCUGCUGUGCUACGGCAAAGCCAACAAGAAUUCGCGCGAGGCCUCCAGGAUCUACGCCGAGAUGUACCCGGAUCGUCGUCUACCAUCGCCCCGCACCAUCGUGGCGACUUACAAGAGAUCUUGUGACAAAGGAUAUACAUCACCAAAAAAUGGAACAUCAGUGUACUGGCUGCCAUCUGACAAACCCGUAGUACAUUUCAUAGAUCCACAAACGGGUGAAUACAUUGUUGCCAAGCGAUGGGGCUUGAGAUGA